rnacentral:rRNA from 1 species
UACGAAGGGGGCUAGCGUUGUUCGGAAUCACUGGGCGUAAAGCGCACGUAGGCGGAUCUUUAAGUCAGGGGUGAAAUCCCGAGGCUCAACCUCGGAACUGCCUUUGAUACUGGGGAUCUCGAGUCCGGGAGAGGUGAGUGGAACUGCGAGUGUAGAGGUGAAGUUCGUAGAUAUUCGCAAGAAUACCAGUGGCGAAGGCGGCUCACUGGCCCGGAACUGACGCUGAGGUGCGAAAGCGUGGGGAGCGAACAGG